AGCUCUGAGGUGUUUUACAUGUUGGAUUGCAAAUCCAAAGUAGUAGGGUAACGCCUACCGGGGCUU
rnacentral:tRNA from 1 species